rnacentral:rRNA from 1 species
CCUACGGGAGGCAGCAGUGGGGGAUAUUGCACAAUGGGGGGAACCCUGAUGCAGCGACGCCGCGUGGGUGAAGGAGCGUUUCGGCGCGUAAAGCCCUAUCGGCAGGGAAGAAGGAGGACGGUACCUGACUAAGAAGCCCCGGCUAACUACGUGACAGCAGCCGCGGUAAUACGUAGGGGGCAAGCGUUAUCCGGAUUUACUGGGGGUAAAGGGGGAGCAGACGGCAGCGCAAUCCAGGAGUGAAAGCCGGGGGCACAACCCCGGGACUGCUCUUGGAACUGCGCGGCUGGAGUGCAGGAGGGGCAGGCGGAAUUCCGGGUGUAGCGGUGAAAUGCGUAGAUAUCAGGAGGAACACCGGUGGCGAAGGCGGCCUGCUGGACUGCGACUGACGUUGAGGCCCGAAAGCGUGGGGAGCAAACAGGAUUAGAUACCCUUGUAGUC